rnacentral:rRNA from 1 species
ACUUCCAUAGACUUAAAAGCUAUUCAAAUAAGGUUCAGCUUAUUUGAACAAGGAUUCAACCUAAAAAACAGGGUAAUGUUUUUAUUUACAUGAUAAAGUGGGCCUAAAAGCAGCCAUCUUUAUAAAAGCGUUAAAGCUUUAUCACAUAUUUAAUUAAUUCCAACAACCCCCCAAAACCCUUAUUUUCUACUGAAUGACUCCAUAAAACUAUGGAAAACCCUAUGCUAGAACUAGUAACAAGAAGAAGACCUUCUCCUCAAAUGUAAGCAUAAACCGGACUGAACAAAUCACCGGAACUUACCGCCAAUGAAAAAAUUAUAGCACCUUCACAAGAAAAAACUAUUUUUACCAAGCGUUAACCCUACACAAGAACAUUUUAGGAAAGAUUUAAAAAAGAGGAAGGAACUCGGCAAACAACUAACCCCGCCUGUUUACCAAAAACAUCGCUUUGUGAUAAAAUAUACAAAGUCCAGCCUGCCCAGUGAUUUAUUUUAACGGCCGCGGUACCCUAACCGUGCGAAGGUAGCGCAAUCACUUGUUCCUUAAAUAGGGACUAGUAUGAACGGCAUCACGAGGGUUAUUCUGUCUCCCCCUUUUAAUCAGUGAAACUGAUCUCCCCGUGAAGAAGCGAGGAUGUUAAUAUAAGACGAGAAGACCCCAUGGAGCUUUAAACUCAGAAACACCAGCUACUUCAUAAAUCAAAUCAAUUAGCUCCUCUGAUUUCUAGUUUUCGGUUGGGGUGACCACGGAGUAUAACACAACCUCCUUGAUGAACGGAACUAAUUUCCUUAUCUAAGAACUACAGUUCUAAGAAUCAAUACAUUGACAAAAAUUGAUCCAAAUUAUUUUGAUCAACGAACCAAGUUACCCUGGGGAUAACAGCGCAAUCCAUUUCAAGAGCUCAUAUCGACAAAUGGGUUUACGACCUCGAUGUUGGAUCAGGGUAUC